rnacentral:rRNA from 1 species
AGAGUUUGAUCCUGGCUCAGGACGAACGCUGGCGGCACGCUUAACACAUGCAAGUCGAACGAGAGAAGAGGAGCUUGCUUUUCUGAUCUAGUGGCGGACGGGUGAGUAACACGUGAGCAAUCUGCCUUUCAGAGGGGGAUACCGAUUGGAAACGAUCGUUAAUACCGCAUAACAUAAUUGAACCGCAUGAUUUGAUUAUCAAAGAUUUAUCGCUGAAAGAUGAGCUCGCGUCUGAUUAGCUAGUUGGUAAGGUAACGGCUUACCAAGGCGACGAUCAGUAGCCGGACUGAGAGGUUGAUCGGCCACAUUGGGACUGAGACACGGCCCAGACUCCUACGGGAGGCAGCAGUGGGGAAUAUUGCACAAUGGAGGAAACUCUGAUGCAGCGAUGCCGCGUGAGGGAAGAAGGUUUUAGGAUUGUAAACCUCUGUCUUCAGGGACGAAAAAAGACGGUACCUGAGGAGGAAGCUCCGGCUAACUACGUGCCAGCAGCCGCGGUAAUACGUAGGGAGCGAGCGUUGUCCGGAAUUACUGGGUGUAAAGGGAGCGUAGGCGGGAUCGCAAGUCAGAUGUGAAAACUAUGGGCUUAACCCAUAAACUGCAUUUGAAACUGUGGUUCUUGAGUGAAGUAGAGGUAAGCGGAAUUCCUAGUGUAGCGGUGAAAUGCGUAGAUAUUAGGAGGAACAUCAGUGGCGAAGGCGGCUUACUGGGCUUAACUGACGCUGAGGCUCGAAAGCGUGGGGAGCAAACAGGAUUAGAUACCCUGGUAGUCCACGCCGUAAACGAUGAUUACUAGGUGUGGGGGGACUGACCCCUUCCGUGCCGCAGCAAACGCAAUAAGUAAUCCACCUGGGGAGUACAACCGCAAGGUUGAAACUCAAAGGAAUUGACGGGGGCCCGCACAAGCAGUGGAGUAUGUGGAUUAAUUCGAAGCAACGCGAAGAACCUUACCAGGUCUUGACAUCGUAUGCAUAGCUCAGAGAUGAGUGAAAUCUCUUCGGAGACAUAUAGACAGGUGGUGCAUGGUUGUCGUCAGCUCGUGUCGUGAGAUGUUGGGUUAAGUCCCGCAACGAGCGCAACCCUUACUGUUAGUUGCUACGCAAGAGCACUCUAGCAGGACUGCCGUUGACAAAACGGAGGAAGGUGGGGAUGACGUCAAAUCAUCAUGCCCCUUAUGACCUGGGCCUCACACGUACUACAAUGGCUGUCAACAGAGGGAAGCAAAGCCGCGAGGUGGAGCGAACCCCUAAAAGCAGUCUUAGUUCGGAUUAUAGGCUGCAACCCGCCUACAUGAAGUCGGAAUUGCUAGUAAUCGCAGAUCAGCAUGCUGCGGUGAAUACGUUCCCGGGCCUUGUACACACCGCCCGUCACGCCAUGGGAGUCGGUAACACCCGAAGCCUGUAGUCUAACCGCAAGGAGGACGCAGUCGAAGGUGGGAUUGAUGACUGGGGUGAAGUCGUAACAAGGUA